rnacentral:lncRNA from 1 species
UCCAUCUUACCUUCUCAAAGUUACUUUCAAUUCAGUGCACAACUUGUAAUCUUCAAUGUGCGAGUUAUCAAGUAGUUGCUCCAGAAAAUGUAAAUCUUCUGCAUUUCUAGAUAUACCUUCCCCUACUCCAAUUGGUUGAGGAACACCGCGUGCUAAAGGAAGUAGAGGUACAAGAGCAGCAAAGCUAUGGGUCACACUCUGUCUGACAGACUGAUCACAAUCACUCAUGCAUCGUAAAAGAGGAACUACCAGCAGAGGAGCAUAAGGAACCAACUCAACACCAAGCCCCUGAACAAGAAAGCUAAUCAACAUGCCUGCUCCUUGUCGGGCAUGAACUGACGAUGCAUCUUCCAACAUAGGGAUAGCAUUUUCAACCACGGCUCCCAUAACUUUCACGGUCAUUGACUGGGCCAUGGAAGUGAUGCAGCGUGAAGCAGCUAGUCUAACUGCGACAUGAGAAUGUUUAACACAUUUAAAAAUGGAUAGGAGGAGUGUCAAAAGUUUUGGCUUCAACUCCUCAUUUAACAAGGGAGCAACAGACCGCACGACCUAUAAGAAAACCACAUUGCAUAUUAAACAGAAUACAUUUUGCAAGCAGUAAAACUGGUUCAAAUGCAUCUAUAUAAAUUUAAAGAAUCUACGGAACUAAUAAAAAAAGUAAUAAAAAAAAGUCGUCAAGCUAAGAAAUAUAACUAAACAAUAUAUAUACCAAACUUGAAACUAUUGACAUGCAUUAUAGUUUAAAAAGAUAACAUGUAUUCGUAACAAAUCAGCAUAAUCCACAGAAGUUGAUUAUUAUUUUUCAAUGCUCUUCUUUGUGAAUAAAAAAAAAAACUAAACUCUCAGAAAGAAAGAAGUCUCUCUUUAACAAGUUCAUCCCAUCUCAUGAUGCAGCAGUUCAACUCCAUACCAAUUCACAGCUAACGAUGCAAAAGUCUUGUAUCUAAUGAGCCUAGUACACAGGUAGAUUUUGAUGGCACCAACCUGGAUAUUGUUAAUCAAGGUCUGAGGAUCACAAACAAACUCAAUUGCCUCAGAAGCAUCAUCAGCAGCAAGUAGAGAUUUAGAGGAGCUUGACUUAAGAACCUCAGUAAGGCAAUCCCAUAGCUUGGGAAGCUUAUCAAAUAGCAAAACACCAAACUUCUCACACAGAAGCCUCAAUGAUAGCUCAGAUCCACGUCUACUUAUAAAUCCUUCCACCUUAGAUCGAUCCUCACCAGUCAGCACAUGCAUCUUUGACUUCUGUUUAUUCACAGGAGUUCUAUUUUACCGAAACACCAGCGGGAACUAUGAGAAGAUUUAAAACUGAAUUCCAUCAUUAAAUCAAGUUUUAAUCAUUAAACCAACACACUAUAUUCCGAUAAACGUAGAAUUAGACAGGCAGAGAUGUAAUACAUAUCAAAAUGGAAAACAACCCACCCAAACUCACAUACCAGAAAAAUUUAACAGUCCAUCUUACCUUCUCAAAGUUACUUUCAAUUCAGUGCACAACUUGUAAUCUUCAAUGUGCGAGUUAUCAAGUAGUUGCUCCAGAAAAUGUAAAUCUUCUGCAUUUCUAGAUAUACCUUCCCCUACUCCAAUUGGUUGAGGAACACCGCGUGCUAAAGGAAGUAGAGGUACAAGAGCAGCAAAGCUAUGGGUCACACUCUGUCUGACAGACUGAUCACAAUCACUCAUGCAUCGUAAAAGAGGAACUACCAGCAGAGGAGCAUAAGGAACCAACUCAACACCAAGCCCCUGAACAAGAAAGCUAAUCAACAUGCCUG